CGGACUGAAGCUCCCUGCCCCCACCCUGAGGAGUUAAAUCUGCAAGUCCUGUUGUUUAGUGGCAGUGAGUCAGACUCCUGUGCUGACUGCUAAAGACCUGCUUUUAUACAGAAGUCCCUGCCGGGCCUUUACAUAUUGAAAUGAAUCAUUGUCGCCUCUGUCAGCUUUGCUCUUCAUUUGCUUGAUGUAUUUCAUCCUCAUUUGGAGGCAGUGAGAAUCACCAACCUAUUGUAUUUAUUAUCAUAUUUACACUUUGGGUUUUCUGCAAACCAAACCCACAAAAGGCAAUUAGCCUCUUGCAUUGCCAGGGUGUUUGGUUCCAUGGCACCUCUUACAGUUUAAUAAGACAAAGUAUUUUCUUUCUUCUUCUUCUUCUUUUUAAGUCUCUAGUUUAGGGUGCCUAACUUAUUUUGGUUUGCUGGGGACUUUCCUGGUUUUGCAGGUGAAAAGUCCCACAUCCCUGGGACCCUUUCAGGCCGGAGUAAACUAAGACAGUUAGAUACCUUAUCCCUACUUGUGUAGUCAUCGAGAGACUUAUCAGGACUUCUGAAAACCAGCACAUGCAAUUGAUCUGGAGUUUAGCAUUUCACUUUAAAGGCUAAUAAAUCUCCACCGUGGCAAAGAAACAAAAGUCAAUAGGCAGUAAAAGUGUACAUGUUUUAAGGAAUUGCCUUGUGCAGAGUUCUUUGAAGUUCUACUUUUUGGAACCAGUCUGGGAUUUAGACAUUUGUGCCUUGUUCCUUUUUGGUCCAGGGAACUCAAGGUCAAGUUAUUCAGAAGCAUUUGAAGUUGUUUGGAGAACUGUGAAGAAUUUCACCAGACUAAACACAUUACACGUUUCAAGAUUGAUUCCAAAAGGGCUGCUGAUGGUAGCGUCUGUAUCAAAGUAACAUACGGUAUUGCGUAAUCAUCCCCACCCAACACACUGAAGGCCUUGGGACCUCAUUUGCCAGCCGCUGUGGGAAAGGUAAGGACAUUCUUGUAGAAAAGUGAAGCACACCUCUAAACCUGGAGGCCUUAAGCAGAGGGGGUGGGCUAGGUCUUAGGGUGGAGGGGUGACAGCCCAGUCCAGAUGCACUGUAUACUCCUUACCUCCACUUCAACCCACGCCUAAGGUAUGGAGAAAAGUUUGCAC
rnacentral:lncRNA from 1 species